rnacentral:rRNA from 1 species
UUUAGAGGAAGUAAAAGUCGUAACAAGGUUUCCGUAGGUGAACCUGCGGAAGGAUCAUUAAUGGAUUUACAGAGGGUUGAUGCUGGCAGUUUAAUCUGCAUGUGCUUGCUCUUCUGAUUUAUUUACACCUGUGCACUUAAUUCUUUCAAAGGGAGGGUAGAACCUGCCUUUGGAACUUAUAAACUCCUUGUAUUGAACCAAUGAAUGUUUAUCUGCCACAAGGCAAAUUUUAAUACAACUUUUAACAACGGAUCUCUUGGCUCUCGCAUCGAUGAAGAACGCAGCGAAAUGCGAUAAGUAAUGUGAAUUGCAGAAUUCAGUGAAUCAUCGAAUCUUUGAACGCACCUUGCGCUCUCUGGUAUUCCGGGGAGCACACCUGUUCGAGUGUCAUUGAAACUCUCAAAUAAAGGUGGCUUUGUUAGCUGUCUCUGUUUGGAUUUGGGCUUUGCUGCAUUAAUGUGGCUAGUCUUAAAUGCAUUAGCUGGUCCUCAUUGAGGUUUGGUUCUACUCGGCGUGAUAAUUAUCUAACGUUGAGGACAGUCUCAGGACUGGCCAUGGCUCUUUCUGGAUUGCUUCUAAAUUGUCUUCAGGACAAUCACUUAAUUUCUGACCUCGGAUCAGGUGGGACUACCCGCUGA